UUUAACUAUGACUCUAUAUAGAUACUAGUACUACAUAUAAAUAACGUGAAAUAUAUACCAUUUAUAUAAAAGAGUAAAUGCAUUUAUGUAGAACCAAAAAGAUAUGAAAACAAUAAUGAGAAGAUAUACUUGGAUGCGAGAUCAUUACAUAAGAUGCCAUUGGGCUUCUCUAAUAAAUAGCAGUGAGCGAAUGAAUUGGCAAGACAAAAACACACAGGAAUAGAAGAAGGAAGGAGGAAUAGAAUAGAAGAAGUAAUCUCUUUGUUCUGAUGGCACUCACCAAGAGCACUACAACACGAUCGAAAAUUGUGUGCUCGGUGGUUGUUGCAUUCCUGGUGCUUGCUGUGAUAUCUUCUACCUUGCGAUCCUGCCAUGCACGCACUGAACCUAAUAAACCGCCGGUGUGCGUGCGGAUGGAUCCGUGUUUCGAGCGCACUACAUGCUGGGAAAUGUGCGUGGAUAUGGGUUUCCUUGUCCCCCAUCCCCGUUGUAAGCGGAGCGUAGAUCAGCUUUGUUGCUGCCUAGACAGGACCCGUAAAGCUCAUUGAUGGUUCUCUUCCUGAGCUAUGCAAUGCUGAAUAAUUGUACGCUUGUGAUGAGCGUGUGCUAAUCUUAAUAAAAAUAUUAAUUUUUUUUCA